AUAUCACUAAGCGGAGGAAAAGAAACUAACCAGGAUUCCCCUAGUAACGGCGAGUGAAGAGGGAAAAGCCCAGCACCGAAGCCUGUGGCAAUUUUGCUGCUAGGCAAUGUGGUGUUUAGGUCGGCUCGUGGGAUCGCCACUCCACUCGAAGUCCAGCAUUGAGUAUGGUUCCCAGGAAUUGGCCCAUAGAGGGUGAAAGGCCCGUACGAGUGGAUGUGUCAGAUAUGUAAGGCGAUUCACCAGGCCGGCCUUAGAGUCGGGUUGUUUGCGAAUGCAGCCCAAAGUGGGUGGUAAACUCCAUCCAAGGCUAAAUACUAGCACGAGUCCGAUAGCGAACAAGUACCGUGAGGGAAAGUUGAAAAGUACUUUGAAGAGAGAGUAAACAGUACGUGAAACCGCAUAGAGGUAAACGGGUGGCGUCAAGCUGCAAGCCCAGAGAAUUCAGUUGGUCAGGGUGUUGUCAUGCGCCCAGCGCAUCUAUCAGUCGGUGUAGGAUUUGGCUAGUCCGCUUGAAGAUGGCGGGCCCAGCUAGCAAUAGCUGGGAUUUGCGUACCGGGCGGUAGCCGGAGCAUGCUAGCCGUCUGUAGGACUGCCUGGCCGAUGCACUUUCUCUGUUGGUGAACACCACGACCGGUGGUACUGCCAGUCUGCUGUAGCCAGCUUCGUUGCAUACUCUGGCCUUUUGGUUGGGGCGUGUGGCGAUCACAGACAAUUUCAGUGCACGGUGCUUGUGUGUUUUUCGCAUGCGGGCAUGUUAUCGGGAACUGGUUGUAAACGGGUCGGCCUGUCGACUUGUCUGUAGUCGUGGUUGAUGGGUGACCCGGUGGGCUAUGGUGGUAUGAAUAACUGUGCAGGGCACCGGAGUUUUCGGUCCGACCAGCAGUAGUCGUUCGCGGCUGCUGUUGCCGGCUGCAUACGCACUGCAGUUUAGCGUGUGCACUGUCUUUGGCAGUAGUACGGGCGGCGCUGUUUACGGCCUGCCAKUCGUUGGGUCUGAUUGUCGUGUCGCCUGCCAAAAUGGUGGGUCCGGCGGUGGCCUGGCGUUGGAUGGUGCCUGUAGACGGAGCUGUCGUUGUGCAGCCGGUAUUUGUGUGCGCGACCUUAUAGUCUGUGGUGUAGUGGUAGACGAGCUACCCGACCCGUCUUGAAACACGGACCAAGGAGUUUAACAUGCGCGCGAGUCAUUGGGUCCUACGAAACCCAGAGGCGCAGUGAAAGUAAAGCUUCGACAUAUAUUGUUCUCGGGGUGUGGUGAGAUCCUGCUGUUUCUCGCAUACAUUUGUCCAGCACUGGGCUAACUAAACGAGCAGUGGGCGCAUCACCGGCCCGUCCCAUGAUGUGGCUAUCUGUCAGUGGCAGUUGUCGCCUUACGGUGGUGGUUGCUUUCUGCGGGUACGUCAUCGGGGCGGAGCAUGAGCGCGCAUGUUGAGACCCGAAAGAUGGUGAACUAUGCUUGCGUAGGUUGAAGCCAGAGGAAACUCUGGUGGAGGACCGCAGCGAUUCUGACGUGCAAAUCGAUCGUCAAACGUGAGUAUAGGGGCGAAAGACUAAUCGAACCAUCUAGUAGCUGGUUCCCUC
rnacentral:rRNA from 1 species